rnacentral:lncRNA from 1 species
ACUUGCAGGAUCUGACACAUCCUCUUGGUUUCCUAAGUCUUAUGACUAGCCAAUGCCUGAAAUAAUGAACUCCUCCAAGGCAAGAAAUCUGUUUUGAAGCUUCUCUGCGUUCACACACAGCAGCCUGGUUUCCUGGCAGGGCAUUUUCCACAUUGUGCGUUAUGGAUGAUCAUCCCAGGCAUCAGGAUGUGAAGCCCUGCAUCCACAUCCAGGGGCUAUCAAAUCUCUCUGCAAAAGGAGAAUCUGGACUCAGGCACGUUUACAGUGAUGUGUAUGCAGGGUAUGCACAGAUGUGGAAACAGGAACUGAUGUGUCCAUUACACCACUAGGACAGAGGCCAGAACAAUGAAGAAACCAAAUGCUUGGAAGAGGGUAGAGAUAAUGAAUGGAGUCCAAGAGCCCUGAUUGUGCCAUAAAUGUCCAGAUAAUUCCAUACCUGAGGAUUAUGUGG